rnacentral:rRNA from 1 species
CCCUUAGAUGCUCUGGGCCGCACGCGCGCUACACUGGUCGAUGCAACGAGUUUCUUUCCUUGGCCGACAGGCCUGGGCAAUCUUUGAACAUCGAUCGUGAUCGGGAUAGAUUCUUGUAAUUUUUGAUCUUAAACGAGGAAUUCCUAGUAAACGCAAGUCAUCAGCUUGCAUUGAUUACGUCCCUGCCCUUUGUACACGCCGCCCGUCGCACCUACCGAUUGAAUGGUCCGGUGAAAUCUCCGGACUGGCGUGAGUCGGAGCAAUCUGACAAACGCCGGAAAGUUGAUUAAACCUUACCAUUUAGAGGAAGGUGAAGUCGUAACA